rnacentral:rRNA from 1 species
CCUGAGAAACCCAAAAGUACGAAUGGGGAGAUUCAGCGUCAGCUUAUUUUGUAUAUAUCCAAGUUAUGAUAUGGGUUACUGCUUGUGCAUCACUUGUGGGUGUCUGGCUAGUAUUGCUCGUACAUUCUUGUUUAUUUUAUUGCAAAAUACUGGUCGGCGUGCAUUUCUCCCCUAGUAGAACGUCGCGACCCGUUGAGUUAUAAUGUUAAUCUACGGCCCGAGUUGGUAGCUUUUUAUAUGAUUUUUGUCAAAGGAAAUUAUAUAGAAAACCACUUGGUGUUUAUUCCUGAUUAACGCUCGGCGGUAAUUUAAAAUAUAUAUGGUAUUGAGCCGCAUAUUAUUAUGCGUCCAUAUCCAUUACAAGCAAGAUUAAUUAUUAACAGUACGGACUCUGUUGCCGUCGUUGAUAUUAAUCGGCUGUUGGUUUAAUGGAAUUCUAGGACCGGCUUAAAAAUAAUAAUCAUACCAGUCAGCGAUGCUACUGCUUUGGG